UACGUAGGGGGCAAGCGUUGUCCGGAUUCAUUGGGCGUAAAGAGCGUGUAGGCGGCCAGGUAGGUCGGUUGUGAAAACUGGAGGCUCAACCUUCAGAGGUCGACCGAAACCAUCUGGCUAGAGUCCGGGAGAGGAGAGUGGAAUUCCUGGUGUAGCGGUGAAAUGCGCAGAUAUCUGGAGGAACACCGGUGGCGAAGGCGGCAUCCUGGACCGACACUGACGCUGAGGAGCGAAAGCCAGGGGAGCAAACGGG
rnacentral:rRNA from 1 species